GCAAAAGAGACUGGGACCACUUACUUUCUAGCUUUAGUAGUUUCUGAACAUAAAAGACAUCAGCAGGGAGUCAUAUAUUCUUCCAGAAAUCUUUACUCAGGGAACAAAGACACAGCCCUGCAUCUCCAGGAGUGAAUUGGAUCACUCCGGGAAGUGUUCCAAGUGCACAGAGGGGGCCAGGCCGUAAGGAGGCAGGAAGUUACUCUCUGCCUGUCUACAAGCAAGAGAGGAGGGGACUCCUGAGAAAGAAGACAGAAGAUAGUCACCAUCAAAGAAAAGAAAUGAGGCCUCCAACUUUACAGUAGGGGAUGUGGAGGCCAACGUGCUGCUGGACACACGAGGGGGAUGUGCUCUAGAGGAAGGACUUGGCCGCUCUUCUACUCAACCUUUCUACAAUGGAGAAUCCGCUAUCCUCCAUGGAGACAGACACCGUCAAGGACAAGCACCUGGACCAUCUCCUCCCCACAAAGAGAUACGAGCUGGUGGGAAAGCUGCUGACCAGCAAGGUCACGAGCUCCCUCCGCUCUGCAAGUGUCUCAAGGCCAAAGACAGGCUGGUGGGAAAGCUCCCACCAGCAAGGCCAUAUGCUCCCCCUCCCCUACCUAAAGCCCCAAAUAAAAACCCUUCCUUUUAGCUUUUCGGGGAGUUUGGGAUUUGAGCAUUAGCUGCACUCUCUCCUUGCUCAGCGCUGUGCAAAAAAAUAAAAUUCCUACUUUCUUCCCCCACACCCGGUGUCAGAGAUUGGCUUGCCGCGCAACUGGUGAGUGAACUCACUUCAGCUUUGGUAACAAAGCCAUGUUGUGGCAGGUGUCCUACAUAUAAAGUGGAGGAAGAUGGGCAGGGAUGUUAGCUCACGGACAGUCUUCCUAAAAAAAAAAAAAUUUACAAGAAUUCCAAAACAGCGACAGCAGAGCAUUAAACCAAGUAUGUGGUCCUUCUGAAAGUGGGGCCCUGGACAAAUGCACUGAUCAUACAUCCAUAAAGCCAGCCCUGAUCUUGAGCUUCCAGUCCUUCUUAUCCCUCACCUACAAGACUUUGUAUAUGUUUAUGGAAAUGCAUGUUCACAAUUAUUAUUUACCCAUUUUGUCAUUAUGUAGCAUCCCUCUUUAUCCUUAAUAAUGCUUUUUACCUUAAGCCCCGUUUUGUCUGAUAAAAAUACAAAUGCAAAGCAUUUUUAUUUGUUUUGUGUUGGCUUGGUUAUGAGAUUUAUAUUCUAGAAGGUUUUAGUUGCUGUUAAUUUUGUAUUGAAUUUAUAUAUUUACAAAGAUAUUCACUAAUGUUUUUACUUUCAACUUCAGGCAUAGCUGUUUAUUUUACACAAUCCAACUUUUGUAUGUCCAUUUAAAAGGAUAAUCUUUCUCUACUUUAUUUCUGCAAACAAUUUGGCUUCCUUACAAAGGACAAACUUUCAACUAAUAUGAAAGCUUAAUUUAUUUUUCUAGUGAUG
rnacentral:lncRNA from 1 species